AUUGAACGCUGGCGGCAGGCCUAACACAUGCAAGUCGAACGGUAACAGGAAACAGCUUGCUGUUUCGCUGACGAGGGGCGGACGGGUGAGUAAUGUCUGGGAAACUGCCUGAUGGAGGGGGAUAAUUACUGGAAACGGUAGCUAAUACCGCAUAACGUCGCAAGACCAAAGAGGGGGACUUUCGGGCCUCUUUCCAUCGGAUGUGCCCAGAUGGGAUUAGCUUGUUGGUGGGGUAACGGCUCACCAAGGCGACGAUCCCUAGCUGGUCUGAGAGGAUGACCAGCCACACUGGAACUGAGACACGGUCCAGACUCCUACGGGAGGCAGCAGUGGGGAAUAUUGCACAAUGGGCGCAAGCCUGAUGCAGCCAUGCCGCGUGUAUGAAGAAGGCCUUCGGGUUGUAAAGUACUUUCAGCGGGGAGGAAGGGAGUAGAGUUAAUACCUUCGCUCAUUGACGUUACCCGCAGAAGAAGCACCGGCUAACUACGUG
rnacentral:rRNA from 1 species